rnacentral:misc_RNA from 1 species
AACGCAUAUUGCGCCCUCUGGUAUUCCGGAGGGCAUGCCUGUCCGAGCGUCAUUACUAUCUUCAAGCACGGCUUGGUUGUUGAGCCAAUUGUCCUUUUAAUGGACAGGCUUAAAAUCCAGUGGCGAUGCCGAGUCCUGGUGCCCGAGCGUAUGGAGCUCUGUCACACGCUUUAGUGGUCCAGCCGGCAUUUUCGUCGAUUAAACCUUAAAAAAAACCUAAGAUUUGACCUCGGAUCAGGUAAGGAUACCCGCUGAACUUAA